AUUUUAACUAAAAUAUCAAAUUAUGUGGAUCUAUUUAGGUGACAUAUAAAAGAAAUAAUGAAUGUUUUUAUGACCUGAAAGAU